GACUCUGGAGAGUCCCUGUAGUGCAGGGCGCCGAAGGUGUACGGCAGAGAAAUCUGUUAAUCUCUCAGGCAAAAGGACAGAGCA
rnacentral:ncRNA from 1 species